UCGAUUUUACAACUAUAUUGAUACUUAGUGAGAAUGGAGAUCUGCAAGGUAGCUAUAGAAAGCCAAGAUGAAGACAAAAGCAUGUCGAUGUCGAACUUUGUAGAAGGUUUUCAAGUAAUCGAAUCAAUGAUUUAUCAAAGGAGAGGUUGCCGGUCAAAUCCCUAAUCCAUUUCACCAGUGCUUCAAAGCGCUGGAAUUCAUCAUAAACCAAGAAACAGAAGGGUAGCAGACAUAGUUGAUGGGGACAACAGUGUUCCAACUUCCAACAUUCCCUCACCUAUGCAAGAAGCUGGUGAUAAGAAACCGAAAUACAAAGUUGCAGCCAUCGUUAGUGGAGUUGCUGCUGCUUCUGACUAUCGUAGUUAUACUUGUUUACAUCUACUUCAUGCGUGUUAAAAGAGUUGUUAGAUGAACAUCUGAUACAUCAUCUUCGAUCUACACAAGGAUCUCCAUGGUAAGUUAGCAAUCAGGACAUUUUCCUUCUCUCUUUGUUUCCAGGUUGUACAUGAAUAAUUGGUAAAUAAAUUGCAGAACUGUUAAGUCUAUGAUAUGUCUUGCUGGGUAGUUAAGCAAAUAGGUUUCUUCUUUCUUUUCAUUCUUUCAGUUGAAUGGACAAAAGGGGAAACAUCCCCUGUGCGGUUCCUCUCUAGCUCAAUACUUUGAGUUCCCCUCUCCAUUUCAGAACAAAGCAAUGUUCUAGUCAUCUAGUGUUUGAAAACUUUAACCCAACUACCCAAUGUAUCUGAUUGUAUGGACUAAUGGACUUCACCAAAUUUAUGGUCAA